rnacentral:rRNA from 1 species
UACGAAGGGGGCUAGCGUUGCUCGGAAUUACUGGGCGUAAAGGGCGCGUAGGCGGACAGUUUAGUCAGAGGUGAAAGCCCAGGGCUCGACCUUGGAAUUGCCUUUGAUACUGGCUGUCUUGAGUUCGGGAGAGGUGAGUGGAAUACCGAGUGUAGAGGUGAAAUUCGUAGAUAUUCGGCGGAACACCAGUGGCGAAGGCGACUCACUGGCCCGAUACUGACGCUGAGGCGCGAAAGCGUGGGGAGCAAACAGG